rnacentral:rRNA from 1 species
AGCGAACGCUGGCGGCAGGCCUAACACAUGCAAGUCGAACGAUGUAGCAAUACAUAGUGGCAGACGGGUGCGUAACGCGUGGGAAACUUCCUUUUAGUACGGAAUAGCCCAGGGAAACUUGGAUUAAUACCGUAUACGCCCUACGGGGGAAAGAUUUAUCGCUAAAAGAUGUGCCGCGUUGGAUUAGUUAGUUGGUGGGGUAAUGGCCUACCAAGACGAUGAUCCAUAGCUGGUCUGAGAGGAUGAGCAGCCACACUGAAACUGAGACACGGUACAGACUCCUACGGGAGGCAGCAGUGGGGAAUAUUGGACAAUGGAGGCAACUCUGAUCCAGCCAUGCCGCGUGAAUGACGAAGGCCUUCGGGUUGUAAAGUUCUUUUAGUGGAGAAAAUAAUGAUGGUAUCCACAGAAAAAGCUCCGGCUAACUUCGUGCCAGCCGCCGCGGUAA